GGACGAACGCUGGCGGCGUGCUUAACACAUGCAAGUCGAACGCUGAAGCUCAGCUUGCUGGGUGGAUGAGUGGCGAACGGGUGAGUAACACGUGAGUAACCUGCCCUCUUCUUUGGGAUAACGCCCGGAAACGGGUGCUAAUACUGGAUAUUCACUGAUUCUCGCAUGGGGGUUGGUGGAAAGGUUUUUUCUGGUGGGGGAUGGGCUCGCGGCCUAUCAGCUUGUUGGUGGGGUGAUGGCCUACCAAGGCUUUGACGGGUAGCCGGCCUGAGAGGGUGACCGGGCACAUUGGGACUGAGAUACGGCCCAGACUCCUACGGGAGGCAGCAGUGGGGAAUAUUGCACAAUGGGCGAAAGCCUGAUGCAGCGACGCCGCGUGAGGGAUGGAGGCCUUCGGGUUGUAAACCUCUUUCGCUCAUGGUCAAGCCGCAGCUUUGGGUUGUGGUGAGGGUAGUGGGUAAAGAAGCGCCGGCUAACUACGUG
rnacentral:rRNA from 1 species